GGGGAAAUAUGUGGACAAUGGGGCAACCCUGAUCCAGUCAAUGUCCGCGUGUGUGAAGAAGGCCUAUGGGCUUGUAAAGCACUUUCAGCGAGGAGGAAGGUCGUAAAGUUAAUACCUUUGCGAAUUGACGUUACUCGCAGAAGAAGCACCGGCUAACUCUGUGCCAGCAGCCGCGGUAAUACAGAGGGUGCGAGCGUUAAUCGGAAUUACUGGGCGUAAAGCGCGCGUAGUGCGGCUUGCCAAGUCGGAUGUGAAAGCCCCGGGCUCAACCUGGGAACUGCAUCCUGAUACUGGUUCGUCUAGAGUACAGCAGAGGAGUGUGGAAUUUCAGGUGUAUGCGGUGAUAAUGCGUAGAUAUCUGAAGGAACACCAGUGGCGAAGGCGACACUCUGGGCUGAUAUUCUGACGCUGAGGUGUCGAAAGCGUGGGGAGCAUAACAGGAUUAGAUAGCCCUGGUAGUCCACGCCGUAUAACGAUGUCUACUAGUCCGUCGGGUCCAUUUUGGGACAUGGUGGCGCAGCUAACGCUGAUAAGUAGACCGCCUGGGGAGUACGGCCUGCAAGGUUAAAACUCAAAUGAAUUGACGG
rnacentral:rRNA from 1 species